ensembl:lncRNA
CAGAGGUUUUCAUAAUGUUACAAAUGAUUGAACUCAACACAGGGUGUUUUGGUAGCUUCCAUGGUGCAACAUACAGCUGUCUCAGUAACCAAAAGGAACCACUUCAGUCCCUGCAAUGGCUUGUGUUACAAAAUGGUCAUUUUAAAGAAGAAAUAAUGAAAACACGGACACACAAAGAAUCGAUGCCCAUGCGCAGUGGGCGACGGCGGGGGGCGAGUGAGGAAAGGAGGGGGAGACGCCCGCACACCAGCCCCACUCGCCCUGAACGCAACGAUAGACAGACGCAAAGAGCUGCUGGUGAGGAAUUGGCUGGAAAUCGCUUCAGUCGCAGAUCACAAGGGCGUGAUUCUUCAGAGAGUGAGGGGGAGG